GUGCUCACUUUGGCAGCACAUAUACUAAAAUUGGAACGAUACAGAGAAGAUUAGCAUGGCCCCUGCACAAGGAUGACACACAAAUUCAUAAAGCAUUUCAUAUUUUG
rnacentral:snRNA from 1 species